rnacentral:rRNA from 1 species
CGGGGAAUUUUGGACAAUGGGCGAAAGCCUGAUCCAGCAAUGCCGCGUGUGUGAAGAAGGCCUUCGGGUUGUAAAGCACUUUUGUCCGGAAAGAAAUCCUUGGCUCUAAUACAGUCGGGGGAUGACGGUACCGGAAGAAUAAGCACCGGCUAACUACGUGCCAGCAGCCGCGGUAAUACGUAGGGUGCAAGCGUUAAUCGGAAUUACUGGCGUAAAGCGUGCGCAGGCGGUUUGCUAAGACCGAUGUGAAAUCCCCGGGCUCAACCUGGGAACUGCAUUGGUGACUGGCAGGCUAGAGUAUGGCAGAGGGGGGUAGAAUUCCACGUGUAGCAGUGAAAUGCGUAGAGAUGUGGAGGAAUACCGAUGGCGAAGGCAGCCCCCUGGGCCAAUACUGACGCUCAUGCACGAAAGCGUGGGGAGCAAACAGGAUUAGAUACCCUGGUAGUCCACGCCCUAAACGAUGUCAACUAGUUGUGGGAUCAUUCCUUAGUAACGUAGCUAACGCGUGAAGUUGACCGCCUGGGGAGUACGGUCGCAAGAUUAAAACUUAAAUGAAUUGACGGGGUCAUAGCUGUUUCCU